UAUUGAGGGUGAAAAUUGAAUAUUAUAAGAAAAUAAUCACGUGUUUUGCGAGAAGUUGCAAAUAUAAUGCUCCUCCACCCAAUACCUACCUUAAAAAGAAAAAAGGAAACAUACAAAAUUAUCUCGAGAAUUAUUCCUGCUUAAACAAUGUCUACGUGCCAUUACUAAGAAAGUAUGCACACAGUAAAGAUGAGAAGAGAACAUGCAAGCGUGAACAUACUUGUUAGGGAUAUAGGACUAUGGGUAAUUUAAACAUUUUAAUGGUAUUACUCUCAUGUAAUUGCUCUGAAAUUCUAGUCAGUUGUUUGAAAUGGCUCUUAGAACAGAAUACUUUGACAUUUUUAUGAUGUCAAAAACUAAGAACUUAGCCCUAAAUAUUCCAAAGAAUAGGUGCAGAAGAACCCGUUUCCUUAAACGGCAUUUGAGUAUUCUUCACAACUCAAACUUUCUCUCCCAUCCUGUGAUGGCCAAGAGUUUUUCCUCUGACGACGGCACUGACCUUACCCUAUCCAAAAUAUGAACAUCUGCAUGGUUUCCUGGUUCAAAUUGUUUUUAUCCAUUCUGUCGUGAGAAUCAAAUGGUUCAGACCAUGCAGCACCUCUCUGGGACUUCUCAAGUCCUUUCUAGAUCUGAACACUAUUCUCUGAACCAAAGACAACUUCUGGGGGUGUACCAAAUCUCCCAUUAGAAAAUUAUUAAGAUCAAGAUGUUUUAACCUUUUAACUCUUUCUCAAACAAAAUAAAUUCGUUUCUCCUUUACUGUUAUUUUAAAUUUCAAAAUACACAGAUAGUAUGUCUAAAAUAAAAUCAAGAGAAUGACAGUUUUAGAACACAAACUGUGGUAAUUUUGAAAACACAAAAGCUAAGACCACUAAUUAGGUCUAUGUGGACACCAAGUCCACCACAACCUGUUCUGUCCUCCGGGGCUCUGCCCACGCCUUUCCCUUGCCUGAGAUUCCUUCUGCUUCCUACCCUUCCAAAUGCUGUAUUUCCCCCUGGAAGACUUGCCAAGACCACUCUAACCUGCACAUCUCCCAUUCCAGCUAACCAAAGGCAUCCUUGGGUUGACUAAACCAAGUUAUUUUGCAGACAAGGCAUCUAAACACUUCCACUGUAGACUAUUCACCUUAAUAAUUGUUAUUGUGACAUUAUUCAAUAAUAAAAUGAGGGAAAGAAGUCCUCUUCAAUCCCUUAUCCUGGAGAACCCAAGCAAGUGUCUUUCCCACUUGCUUUGCCCAAACCCUGGGACCUUUCUAAGUAAAAGUUUAAUGGAAGGGAAAGAAAAUCUAAAAGAAAAACUCUCCAAGAAAUUAAACUCGGGCAAAGAUUCAUGGGAUUAAAAAUUUUUAUUCUUUGUGUAUUUGAUUUCCGAAACAUAGAAAUCUCUCUCCCACUCCUUAAACCUGCCACUGGGCUAAGAGAGUAUUGUACAGAAUAUGCACUCACUGACUUAACAGAAUUAGAACAUCCAGGCACUCACUGAGAUUUUGCUUCCACAACCGCUCAAAGUCUAGUCAUUAGUUCAUGAGUUAACACCACACUUGACCUUCAAGUUUUGGAAAUGCUGACGGUAGACAGGGACUUGUUUUGGGAAAGGAAGUACACAGUAGACAUUGUUACCCAUGACCCAACCACCACCACCUUUCCUUUAAAGAACCCCACUCUUCCUUUAAGGUUGCAGAGUCUCAGAAAGUGGGAAGAAAGGAAGUUUUUGCAUUUUCAGGUCAAAACGAAGUACAUUUGUGCAACCACAUAAUGCCCAUGCAAAGGUUUCUUGAAAUCUAAACACAAGACAGAAGUAGUUCUAGCACCUCCACAAAAAGUAAGGUAAGUAAGUUUUUCCUUAAUAUACACUUUCAGCAGCAUCAACACCUAAAAGUGGUUGACUUUACUACUGUACUAAAUUAAAUUACAUUCAUUUUGUCAAUAGGUGUUCCAAAUUCGUACUGAUCUUUGUCUCCAAGGGGUUCCUGCUGAAUAUUGAGACAGUUGAAGAUUACUAGGGGAAAAAAUUCUUAAUAAUCGAAGUAAGGAUCAUCUAAGGAUAAUAUGCCACAUAUACAGACACAGUCACAUUUUCAGCUUUACAAAAGUUCAGUUAUCAAAGUUGUACAGCAAACACUAUCCUAAGCUUAGCGUCUUCAGGCAUUUGAUUUAUAAUCACUGUAAAGAAAAAUCAGUCACAAAAUGCCACUGUUGUAUGAUUCUAUUUAUAUGAAAUGCCCAGGAUAGGCAAAUCUACAGAGAUAGAAGUUAGAUCAGAGGUUGCCAGGAUCAAUGGUGGGGGAGAGAGCUACAGGGAGUGACUGCUAGUGGGUACGGGGUUCUUUUUGGGGAGAUGAAAAUGUUCUGAAAUUAGGGAGUGGUAAUGGCUGCAUAACUCUGAAUAUACUAAAAACCACUGAACUGUACACUUGAAGGGUGAGGCUUAUCAUACAAAAACUGUAUCACAAUAAAGCUCUUAGUUUAAAAAAUGUUUGUCUAUGUCAAGAAACAAAGAAAUAGGGUCAUAGCUAGAAGAUAUGGGAUAUAAAAUACUGGAACAAAACUGCUUAAUAAUAUAUCUAGAAUCACACAAUGCUUAGUCUUUACGCUGACUAAAAUCACGAGAUUUGUGUUUUAUCGGUAUUUCACAUUUUUUACUUCUUCUAAGUCAGCCAGUAAUUCCUCCUUCUCACUUAAUCGUUGACUACAAAGACCAAGCCAUUUUGACUCUGCCACCGAUGAGCUUUCACAUUUCUUUCCUCCUUCCAUUCCCAUGACUACCAAACCAGUGCAGGUUCUCCUCACUUCACUCUAAGACAACAGCGUGGCCCUCAAAUACUGUCACACUCUUCAAGGCUCUGUGAGCACAAUCUGUCUCAUAUUCUCUUCUGCUGUCACCAGAUUUAUUCUAAGACCGUUUCUUCACUGUUACUCCCCUGUUUCUCAACCAGUUACACAGAAAGACGAAUAUCCAGGCAUGGUGUCAUGUGCCUGUAGUCCCAGCUACUCAGGAGGCUGAGGCGGCAGGAUCGCUUGAGAAUGUGAGAUUCAGACUGCAGUGAGCCAUGAUCAUGCCACCGCACUCCAGCCUGGGCAACAGAGUGAGAUUGUCUCAAUAAAUAAAUAAGUAAAUAAAUAAAUAAAUAAAUGAAUAAAUAAAUGUGGUCUAUCCAUGCAACGGAAUACUAUAAAAUUAUCAGCCUUAAAAAAGAAAGAAGCCCUGUCACAUGCUGCAAUAUAGAUGAACCUUGAAAACAUUACACUAAUUGAAAUCAGCCCAUCACACAAAGACAAAUGCUGUACAAUUUCUCUUACAUUAGGUUCGAAAUUAGUCAAACUCAUAGAAACAGAAAAUAGAGCGGUUGUUUCCAUAAGCCAGGGGAUAGAGAAAUGGGGAGUUGUUGUAUAGUGGCUAUAGUUUCAGUUCUCCAAGAGAAGCAAGUUCUAGAAACUCGUUACUCAACAUGUAUAUUUUUAACACUACUGCACUGUAUACUUACAAGUGGCUAAUAUGGUAAAUUUUAUGUUGUGCCUUAUCACCAUAAUGUUUUUAAAAGAAGGGGUUUGUGUUUCCCUUCGUUGUGAUCACCCAUUUUUCACUUCAGCAUUUUGAACUUGAGAUUUCCUGUAGCGGUUUUACUGAGCCCUGCAGUUACCGGCUCAGAAUGUCUCCACCGCCUUGUAACCUUGUAGGCAGACACUUUUCAGCAUCUUAUUGGGCUCCGUGUGCUUGAUGCUUAAAGUGACAUGGAGACAUGCCACUUGCUGAGAAGCAAAGAAAGGCAAAAGGUGACUGCUUUCCUGGCAUCGAUGAAGGCAGAGAGAAGGGAUCUUGGAGGCACAGAUAUUAAGCCAUAAGCAAUAACAUGGGUUGCCAAAAAGAGAACUAACCCCUCUCCUGGUAACAUUUCCAGGUGUUUUUCACAGGGCCAGUGGAUUUCACAAUGUGAGUGCUGUCCAGCACCAAAGGGAAUGGCCAACAGGCAUGGAGUAGCCUACAGCGUCCAGCACCCAGUAGGAUGGCCAGGAGGCACGGAGCAGCCUGCCUGUCCCAGGAAAGCAGGAGUCACAGGACACAACUGGACCCAGGUAGGCAUGUAUGUUACUUUCCUGUGGCUGUUAGAGCAAAUUACCAAAAAUGUGGUGACUUAAAACAACAGAAAUUUAUUUUCUCACAGUUUUGGAUAUCAGAAGUCCAAAAUCAGUAUCACUGGGCUGAAAUCUAGGUCUCAGCAGAGCCAGUGCUCUCAGAGGCUGAGGGGAAAAUCCAUCCUUUGACUUGCGCAGCUUCUGAUGGCUGCUGGCAUUCAUUGGCUUGCAGCUCCACCACUCCAGGCUCUGCCUUCUUGGUCACAGGGCCUCCUUCUCUUCUGUCUGAAGUUAAAUCUCCUUUAUCUCCCUCUUAUAAGGAUAUAUGUGCCAGGAUUUAAUGCCCACGGAGACAAUCCAGGAUAAUCUCUCCUCAAGAUCCUUAACUUAAUCAUACCUGAAAAUAUGCUUUUUCCAAAUGAGGUAACAUCUACAGGUUCUAGGAGUUCCAGACCAGCCUGGACGACAUGGUGAAA
rnacentral:lncRNA from 1 species